AAUAUCCUCUUACAAAAAUUUCACUCCAAUCCAACUAGUAGUUUGUAAGAAAUCUUAAAAAUCCCCACUAGACCUAAAAUUCUACUUUCUGAGACCUUGACCCACUUGAACCUCAAUAUUCCUCAACUCAACCGUUAGAUCAAUUUCGAAUUUAUAAUACAUAUUGAACAAAACUAUAUCCAUAAACCCACAAAUUUUCAUCCAUAGAUCUAUUAUAAAAAUCUUGAAAUCAUCCAAAACGUAAACCCUAUUUUAUUUCAUAAAAUCCAAGUCAUCAGAAACAAACCUUGACUUUGCAAAGCUCUUGUUAAGUAAUAACAACUCCAAAUCAUCCAAAAUCAAUGCCUAUAGAAACCUUAU
rnacentral:lncRNA from 1 species